UACGGAGGGGGGCUAGCGUUGUUCGGAAUUACUGGGCGUAAAGCGCACGUAGGCGGCUUUGUAAGUUAGAGGUGAAAGCCCAGGGCUCAACCCUGGAAUUGCCUUUAAGACUGCAUCGCUUGAACAUCGGAGAGGUAAGUGGAAUUCCGAGUGUAGAGGUGAAAUUCGUAGAUAUUCGGAAGAACACCAGUGGCGAAGGCGACUUACUGGACGAUUGUUGACGCUGAGGUGCGAAAGCGUGGGGAGCAAACAGG
rnacentral:rRNA from 1 species